GCAACCCGAUGUCGGGGGCUUGGGCGGAAGCCCACGUURCCCGACAAAAAACGUACCCCCGGCGCGGUCYGCGCCAAGGAAUCGAAAUGAAGCAACGUGAGCAGUCCGCCCCGUUCGCGGGAAGUGGACGGCAACACGGUCUUCCAAUGUAUACUAAACGACUCUCGGCAACGGAUAUCUCGGCUCUCGCAUCGAUGAAGAACGUAGCGAAAUGCGAUACUUGGUGUGAAUUGCAGAAUCCCGUGAACCAUCGAGUUUUUGAACGCAAGUUGCGCCCGAAGCCAUUAGGCCGAGGGCACGCCUGCCUGGGCGUCACGCGCUCCGUCGCCCCGCAACCCCGAACCCCGAAACGGGCCAGGGURCUUGUGGUGCGGAGAUUGGUCUCCCGUGUGCCUUGCUCGCGGCUGGCCUAAAAUUGAGUCCCGGGCGCUCUGUUCUGCGGCCGACGGUGGUUGAGAAGCCCUCGAAAUUGUGCUGCUGCAGUGCUGCCCGAUGCGGACCCUGUGACCCUUGCGCGACCUCUCCCCUUGGGGUGAGGGAGCUCCAUCUGA
rnacentral:sRNA from 1 species